rnacentral:rRNA from 1 species
GACGAACGCUGGCGGCGUGCUUAACACAUGCAAGUCGAACGAUGAAGCUGGAGCUUGCUCUAGCGGAUUAGUGGCGAACGGGUGAGUAACACGUGAGCAAUCUGCCCUUGACUCUGGGAUAACUGCGGGAAACUGUAGCUAAUACCGGAUACUUUCACCGGGGGGCAUCCUCUGGUGAUGAAAGAAUUUCGGUCAAGGAUGAGCUCGCGGCCUAUCAGCUCGUUGGUGAGGUAACGGCUCACCAAGGCGACGACGGGUAACCGGCCUGAGAGGGUGACCGGUCACACUGGGACUGAGACACGGCCCAGACUCCUACGGGAGGCAGCAGUGGGGAAUAUUGCACAAUGGGCGCAAGCCUGAUGCAGCAACGCCGCGUGAGGGAUGAAGGCCUUCGGGUUGUAAACCUCUUUAAGCAGGGAAGAAGCGAAAGUGACGGUACCUGCAGAAAAAGCACCGGCUAACUACGUGCCAGCCGCCGCCGUAA